GAAGCCAAAAACCUAGAAAGAGACGUUUGCUUUAUUGAUAUUGUCUGCAAUGAAAUUCCAGAGCACUACGACAAAGAAUCUGAGGAUCCUAAACACUUCAAGUCAGAGAAGACAGGAUGGGGACAGUUAAGGGCAGGCUGAAUAGAUAGACAUCAGCCCAUCAUGUGCUUCUACAAGCUGGAGACCACCAGUGAGGUUGGAGGUCUGGAGGCUUCAGACCAAAGUAGGGCAAUUUGUACACAAGUCAGUCAAAGACGACAUAGGCUUUUGCAUGGGUUGAUGAAUGGUACAUGAUAAUGGAUGAUGUUCAGGAAUAUGAAAAAAACAUGCCUGAGCAAACUAACAUAAAAAGUUUGCAAUCAACAUUCCUCGCCUGCAAAUGACAUAGUGAGUCAUGCCCAAACAAGUACAUGACAACUGAUGAAGUCUGAUAAUUUGAACGAGCCAUUCAGGAAGCCAUCAAGAAGAAAAUUGGCAUUGUCCCACCUGCAAUUUCUAGCUCAAGCAUUCCCCGACUGCCUUCUUCUGGCAGCAGUCCCCUUCUAGUGCUUCAUCACUCCAUCACCCCUCGUUCCACAGAUGUACCUGAAUUGCUGUCAGGUCCCAAAUAUUGGCCCCGGAAAAAGUCUGCCCCAGUAACACUCAUGCUUCCAGACCCUGAGAAAAAAAGCCACCCUGAAUGUACUUGGCACAUACUCUUCAGAUAAACGACGUCAGCAUAAAUCAGA
rnacentral:lncRNA from 1 species